rnacentral:tRNA from 1 species
UCCCUGAUGGCUCAGAUGGUAAAGAAUCUGCUUGCAGUGCAGGAGACCUGGGUUCGAUCCCUAGGUUGGGAA